UUAUAGAUACUCCAAAGACUAGAAGGACACGAGAAAAAACAAGGUGUGCUAAAAUCCAUGCAAGAAGUUGGGAAGAAAGAGAAGAGGUGACUUUUUAUGAAGGACAAGUAGUGGGACCAACUCCAAGAAGAGUGAAGGAUUUAACUUACUUUAUUGGAACAAGGGGAAGGAAUAGUGAUUUCAUAACAUUGAUGUACACUAGUUGGAAAGCUGUGCCCCUCAACGUCAAAAAGCGCAUAUGGAAAUAUAUUAACUCAAAGUUCAUUCUUCCAAAAGAGGGGAAAGAGUGGGUGAUGACUGGUGUUCGAGAAGCUUGGAAAGGUUACAAAACAAGAAUCAAGGGAAAGCAUUUUGAGAUAUAUAACAACAUUGAAGAUAUGCUGAAAAAUCGCCCUUUAGAUAUUCCAGAAGUUCAAUUUCGAAAGUUAAUUGCAUAUUGGAGUAUUCCUUCUGUUAAGGUUCUAUCUCGUUUAAAUUCUGAAAAUCGUAAAAAGCAACAACAUCAACAUCGAAUGGGACCUAUAAGUUUUGCAAGAGUGCGUAAUGAAAUGCGUGAAAUGAAUGAGAACAAAGAAGACCCAUCACAGGUUGAUGUGUUUGUUGCAACUCGAACUGGACGAAAAGGAAAAGAGCUUGAUUCAGGAACACAAGCUGUUAUUGAUAAACUUAAGAGCCACCAAGAAGCUGGAGACACUCCCGAGAAAUCAUUUGCUGCAGUAUUUUGCAAAGAACAGCCAGAAAGAGUUCGAUGUUAUGGGAGGACAAUCACAAAAACAUCUCUACAGAAAGAACGGGAGAUUGCUAAAAUUAAGCAACAACAUACAGAGACUAUAAGUUCAAUGAAAACUGAAUUUCAUGAGACAAAAGAUAGAGUCCAAAGUUUGGAGGAUCUUGUGAGGCUUCUCUUGCAACAGAGUUCUCUUGGCACAAAUAUUGAUGAAGCACUGUCUUUAUUACGAGCCAAGGAAUCAACACAUGAUAUAAAUAGUAAGCAAUGUCUGAAUGGCAAUGAUCGUCCUUCCUCAUCAACUCGUGAUCCAAAAUGAUGACUAGUUAUUGGACUCAGUGGAGGCAAGAGGAUUUUGAGUUCAUCAUACCACACACUAUCAGAUUGUUCCAACAAAGUCAAGCAUAGAUAAAAAAUAUGCAAGUAGAUUGACAUAUUUUUGAUAAAUAUUAAUUACUAUUUUGUUAUGACAAUUAUUGUUAGACAAAAAUUUUAUUAUUUUGUUGAGAAUUAUUGAUGAACAUGUAUUUGAAAUACUAAUUGAACUUUUUAAUAUCUAUUUUAAUUAGAAUUUUAUUAUUA